GCAAGGCGGACCGAAGGGAAAGCAUUCGCCAAGAAUAUUUUCUUUGAUCAAGGACGAAAGUUAGAGGUUUGAAGGCGAUCAGAUACCGCCUUAGUUUUAACCAUAAACGAUGCCAGCCAGCAAUCCGCCGAAGUUCCUCCGAUGACUCGGCGGGCGGCUUCCGGGAAACCAAAGCUUUUGGGUUCCGGGGGAAGUAUGGUUGCAAAGCUGAAACUUAAAGGAAUUGACGGAAGGGCACCACCAGGAGUGGAGCCUGCGGCUUAAUUUGACUCAACACGGGAAACCUCACCAGGCCCGGACACCGGGAGGAUUGACAGAUUGAGAGCUCUUUCUUGAUUCGGUGGGUGGUGGUGCAUGGCCGUUCUUAGUUGGUGGAGCGAUUUGUCUGGUUAAUUCCGAUAACGAACGAGACUCUAGCCUGCUAACUAGUCGCUUCCGGUAUCCUUGUGCUACCGGCGACUCCUGAUCUUCUUAGAGGGACAGGCGGCUUCUAGCCGCACGAGAUUGAGCAAUAACAGGUCUGUGAUGCCCUUAGAUGUUCUGGGCCGCACGCGCGCUACACUGAAGGAAUCAGCGUGUCCUCCCUGGCCGAAAGGUCCGGGUAACCCGCUGAACCUCCUUCGUGCUAGGGAUUGGGGCUUGCAAUUGUUCCCCAUGAACGAGGAAUUCCCAGUAAGCGCGAGUCAUAAGCUCGCGUUGAUUACGUCCCUGCCCUUUGUACACACCGCCCGUCGCUACUACCGAUUGAAUGAUUUAGUGAGGUCUUCGGACCGGUGGGCGAGGGGGCUCGCCUCCUCGAUUCCACCGGGAAGAUGCCCAAACUUGAUCAUUUAGAGGAAGUAAAAGUCGUAACAAGGU
rnacentral:rRNA from 1 species